CGNGACGGGUGAGUAACACGUGGGUAACCUACCUAUAAGACUGGGAUAACUUCGGGAAACCGGAGCUAAUACCGGAUAAUAUUUCGAACCGCAUGGUUCGAUAGUGAAAGAUGGUUUUGCUAUCACUUAUAGAUGGACCUGCGCCGUAUUAGCUAGUUGGUAAGGUAACGGCUUACCAAGGCGACGAUACGUAGCCGACCUGAGAGGGUGAUCGGCCACACUGGAACUGAGACACGGUCCAGACUCCUACGGGAGGCAGCAGCG
rnacentral:rRNA from 1 species